rnacentral:rRNA from 1 species
ACGGAAGGCAGCAGUGGGGAAUAUUGCACAAUGGGCGAAAGCCUGAUGCAGCGACGCCGCGUGAGUGAAGAAGUAUCUCGGUAUGUAAAGCUCUAUCAGCAGGGAAGAAAAUGACGGUACCUGACUAAGAAGCCCCGGCUAACUACGUGCCAGCAGCCGCGGUAAUACGUAGGGGGCAAGCGUUAUCCGGAUUUACUGGGUGUAAAGGGUGCGUAGACGGUUUGGCAAGUCUGAAGUGAAAUGCGGGGGCUCAACUCCUGAACUGCUUUGGAAACUGUCGAACUAGAGUGCAGGAGAGGUAAGUGGAAUUCCUAGUGUAGCGGUGAAAUGCGUAGAUAUUAGGAGGAACACCAGUGGCGAAGGCGGCUUACUGGACUGUAACUGACGUUGAGGCUCGAAAGCGUGGGGAGCAAACAGGAUUAGAUACCCUGGUA